GGAGCACAGUGGGAGAAGCAGGGCUGAGUGUGAGAGCAUUGAAAGGCACAGCGCUGCAGGUCUAAGCUAAGCUCACUCAUACCUUCCCUGGCUCUGAGCACCGGCAGGAUGCACUAAGCAAGGCACAGCAAGUCUCUGCAGCACACAAGCCUCCACCAGUCUGCCUUAUUAUAUAAACAGUACAUUGGCUUCAACACCCAGCCAAGCCCUGCAGUUCUCACUUCCCAUUCCCAGACCAGGGAAGCGUUCACGAGCAAAUCCAUGGUGUGAAGAAACCAAUGUUGGUCACAGUGCUGGCUGACAGUUCAUGUGCUUAGAGCCAGAUCGUUAAUCAGGCAUAAUACAGUAAUAAGAAAUGAGACUCACCAGAUCUGAGGCUUGCUGCUUGUAUGGCUUUUAUCCAGUCCUGUGUAAUGUGUGAUAGCUGCCUGUAAUGCCCCUCUCCAGUCCUGUGUAAUAUGUGAUAGCAGUCUGUAAUGCCCCUCUCCAGUCCUGUGCAGGUACAAUAUGCUCUCACUAUGUCUGAUAAGUCUGUAUUGCCCCUCUCCAGCCCUGUGCGGGUACAGGAGGCUCUCACAACGCCUGAUAGCAGUCUGUAUUGCCCCUCUCCAGCCCUGUGCGGGUACAGGAGGCUCUCACAACGCCUGAUAGCAGUCUGUAUUGCCCCUCUCCAGCCCUGUGCAGGUACAGGAGGCUCUCAAAUAAUGUCUACUAACAGAGUAUUUAGUUGUGUAUGGGCUGGUCUUUUGACUUCUCUCGCUCGAGUUAAGGCAGAGGAAAGGGGUGUUGUUGUUUAUGUUUUAAAACUUAGCAGCGACGCCAAUAAAGGAGAAGUAAAUCAUGACCUGAUCAUGUCUCAAUAACUAGCCACAGUUG